UGGCCUCAUAAAUUCGAACCUAAACCAGUAGCACGGGAACAAAUUCCUGUACCAAUCGAAGUGACCAUCUAGCAAUGGCACCCGACUGUCGGAUAGAUCGAAUAUGUAGAACAACAUCCUUAAAACCCAUGCGGAUAUAGUUUCCAUAUAAUUUAUCUUCUUGACCAAAAUGCUCAUAGGACACCUCAGAGUUUAACUGUCAACUCUGAUCAGGUUGUCCACAUUGUAUUUUAAAAUAUCAAAUUCAUCUGAUGGAUUACUCUGGCCA
rnacentral:lncRNA from 1 species